rnacentral:rRNA from 1 species
UCCUGAAGGAACGGUUUAGACGACGACGUUGAUAGGCCGGGUGUGUAAGCGCAGCGAUGCGUUGAGCUAACCGGUACUAAUGAACCGUGAGGCUUAACCUUACAACGCCGAAG